GUAGGACGGACCCGAGAUUGUCGUUCGUGAUUGAGGAAACGACUGGUUGGGGGUGGGCAAUCCUGUAGGCCGGACCCAAGAUUGUUGCUCGUAAUUGAGGAAACGACUGAAGUGUGAUGCCAAGAAGACUAUUGCAAAGAGGAAUGUCAAGGCCAGGCGCAUAGUUGCAUAUGAAGGGAAAAAACUGAUGCAUUGUUGGCAAAAGUCAAAACAAGAAAUUAAUUCAAG